rnacentral:sRNA from 1 species
UAGCUAGUUUUAACCGGCGACAAGUGC